rnacentral:rRNA from 1 species
AUUGAACGCUGGCGGCAGGCCUAACACAUGCAAGUCGGACGGUAGCACAGAGAGCUUGCUCUUGGGUGACGAGUGGCGGACGGGUGAGUAAUGUCUGGGGAUCUGCCCGAUAGAGGGGGAUAACCACUGGAAACGGUGGCUAAUACCGCAUAACGUCGCAAGACCAAAGAGGGGGACCUUCGGGCCUCUCACUAUCGGAUGAACCCAGAUGGGAUUAGCUAGUAGGCGGGGUAAUGGCCCACCUAGGCGACGAUCCCUAGCUGGUCUGAGAGGAUGACCAGCCACACUGGAAGUGAGACACGGUCCAGCCACCUACGGGAGGCAGCAGUGGGGAAUAUUGCACAGUGGGCGCAAGCCUGAUGCAGCCAUGCCGCGUGUAUGAAGAAGGCCUUCGGGUUGUAAAGUACUUUCAGCGGGGAGGAAGGCGACGCGGUUAAUAACCGCGUCGAUUGACGUUACCCGCAGAAGAAGCACCGGCUAACUCCGUGCCAGCCGCCGCGGUAA